GGAGGAUGUCAUCAGCAUGCUUCUUGCUUGUAUGGGAAUCAAGGGAGGUUUGAGUGUGUAUGUCAGAUGGGUUAUUCAGGAGAUGGGAGCAUCUGCUAUGGAACCCUGGCACAGGAAGUGGAAAACAAUCCUGAUCUGAGUGAAUUCAAUACGUGG